rnacentral:rRNA from 1 species
UACGGGGGGGGGCAAGCGUUGUUCGGAAUUACUGGGCGUAAAGGGCGCGUAGGCGGCCCGCUAAGUCGAACGUGAAAUCCCCGGGCUCAACCCGGGAACUGCGUCCGAUACUGGCAGGCUUGAAUCCGGGAGAGGGAUGCGGAAUUCCAGGUGUAGCGGUGAAAUGCGUAGAUAUCUGGAGGAACACCGGUGGCGAAGGCGGCAUCCUGGACCGGCAUUGACGCUGAGGCGCGAAAGCCAGGGGAGCAAAGCGGG